GUGGCCACAAGUCAUGGAAGGGGUGGCUGGGCUGGUGAGUUCACAUAGGGCCAUCGGGUCUAGGAGAAAACCAGCGAGGGAAAAAACAAAGCAAGCUUUUAGGUCUGCAGCAGCUCUUCUCCAUGGGAACAGGAGAUCCACUGUUUACUGGCUGGCUGAAAUACACCACCAGGCAUCAAGAUUCACGCUAAACGCUGAAGAAACAUGAUCCUACUUAAUUUGAGAGGAAGGCUCAUUCAAAGUGGAGCAACCUCUGCACUUACAUCAUGGGGGAAAAAAGACAAGAUUUGAAGCAUCUAAAAGAUAUCAUGAUGUCUUCUACCAAACAUUUCUCCUUCUAUCUAGAAUCAGCUGUUUCCAUCACUGCAGCAACACUGAUGCUCAAGAUAACCGUGCUCAGGCUAUUGCUGCCAUACAGAAGUACAGGCUUGCAGGUUGUAGUCAGACACUCACUUCCUCCCCUUCUGAAGUUGGGUUAUUCCUGCUCAGGCCAUUUCUGCAGUUUUACCCCGCUGUCACCAGGGAUUCAGAGCUCCUGCAGCUCACCCCACACCAACAGCUUCAGAAAAUUGAGGAAUGAAAUGGAUAAUUUUGACACCGUAGGGAAGUAAGGGUUAUUAUUUUUUCUUUUUUUUUUUCUUAUUUUGCCAUGCAGCUAAUCAGCAAGAAACAAUUACCUCCCAUGUGGCCAACACACUGACAAGUUUCUAAUAUCCAAAACACAGGGUUGGUUGGUGUAAUUCAUAUG